rnacentral:rRNA from 1 species
UACGAAGGGGGCUAGCGUUGCUCGGAAUUACUGGGCGUAAAGGGUGCGUAGGCGGGUCUUUAAGUCAGGGGUGAAAUCCUGGAGCUCAACUCCAGAACUGCCUUUGAUACUGAAGAUCUUGAGUUCGGGAGAGGUGAGUGGAACUGCGAGUGUAGAGGUGAAAUUCGUAGAUAUUCGCAAGAACACCAGUGGCGAAGGCGGCUCACUGGCCCGAUACUGACGCUGAGGUGCGAAAGCGUGGGGAGCAAACAGG